GAAGCAACAGUUAGAGCCUGACAUGGAACGACAGACUGGUUCCAAAUUGGGAAAGGAGUAUGUCAAGGCUGUAUAUUUGUCACCCUGCUUAUUUAACUUUUAUUCAGAGAACAUCAUGUGAAAUGCCAGGCUGGAUGAAGCACAAGCUGGAAGCAAGAUUGCUGGGAGAAAUAUCAAUAACCUCAGAUAUGCAGAUAACACCACCCUAAUUGCAGAAAGCUAACAGGAACCUAAGGAGCCUCUUGGUGAAGGUAAAAGAGGAGAGUGAAAAAGUUGGCUUAAAACUCAACUUCAGAAAACUAAGAUCAUGGCAUCCAGUCCCAUCACUUCAUGGCAAAUAGAUGGGGAAACAGUGGCUGACUUUAUUUUUGGGGGCUCCAAAAUCACUGCAGAUGGUGCCUGCGGCCAUGAAAUUAAAAGAUGCUUGCUUCUUGGAAGGAAAACUAUGACAAACCUGCUGCUGCUGCUGCUAAGUCACUUCAGUCGUGUCCGACUCUGUGCGACCCCAGAGACGGCAGCCCACCAGGCUCCUCUGUCCAUGGGGGUUCUCCAGACAAGAAUACUGGAGUGAGUAUCACUCUAGGAAUCUUUCCUCCUCCAGGGGAUCUUUCUAACCCAGAGAUUGAACCCAGGUCUCCCUCAUUGCAGGUGGAUUCUUUACCAGCUGAGCUACCAAGGAAGCCCGCCCAAACUCCCUACCUCUUACCUUUAAAAAAAAAAAAAAAAAGAGCCAAAGAAAGAAAGCAAAGCAACUCAGUUGAGUAAAUGACCAUAAGUCGGCAUAGUGUCAAAGAGGAAAUGGCAUAUUUUGAAGUCAAAUUUUUAUUUACAUUGAGGUUGUGGGACCUUGGACGUGUCAUCAAAGCUCUCUGAAUAUCAACUUCAUAUUCUACUAACUUGGGAUAAUCAUGCCUACCUGAUUGCUUCAGCAGCACAUAUACUAAAAUUGGAACGCUAUACAGAAGAUUAGCAUGGCCCCUCAGCAAGCAAAUCAGAUCCCUUAUGAUUAUACAGUGGAAGUGACAAAUAGAUUCAAGGGAUUAGAUCUGAUAGAGUCCCAGAAGAACUAUGGAUAGAGGUUCAUAAUACUGUAAAGAAGGUGGUAAUCAAAACCAUCCCCCAGAAAAAUACAAGUCAAAAAGGUUGUCUGAGGAGGCCUUACAAAUAGCUGAGAAAAGAAGAGAAGCAAAAAGCAAAGGAGAAAGGGAAAGAUAUACCCAAUUGAAUGUAGAGUUCUAAAGAAUAGCAAGGAGAGAUAUGAAAGCCUUCUUCAGUGAACAAUGCAAAACAAAGAAAUAGAGGAAAACAAUAGAAUGGGAAAGACUAGAGAUCGCUUCAAGAAUAUUAGAGAUACUGAGGGAAUAUUUCAUGCAAAGAUGGGCACAAUAAAGGACAGAAACACUAUGGACCUAACAGAAAAAAGCAGAGACAUCACUUUACCAACAAAGAUCCAUAAGCUAUGGUUUGUGAGAGCUGGACCAUAAAGAAAGCUGAGUGCUGAAGAAUUGAUGCUUUUGAACUGUGGUGUUGGAGAAGACUCUUGAGAGUCCCUUGGACAGCAAGGAGAUCAAACCAGUCAAUCCUAAAGGAAAUCUGUCCUGAAUAUUCAUUGGAAGGACUGAUGCUGAAGCUCCAAUAUUUUGGCCAACUGAUGUGAAGAACUGUCUUCUUAGAAAAGACCCUGAUUCUGGGAAAGACUGAAGGUAGGAGAAGAAGGGGACAACAAAGGAUGAGAUGGUUGGAUGGCAUCACUGACUCAAUGGACAUAAGUUUGAGCAAGCUUCAGGAGCUGGUAAUGGACAGGGAAGCCUGGCGUGCUGCAGUCCAUGGGGUCGAAAUGAGUGGGACAUGACUGAGCAACUGAACUGAACUGAACUGAAAAGAAGCAGAAGAGAUUAAGAAGAGGUGGCAAGAAUACAUGAAAGAACUGUAUAAGAAAGGUCUUAAUGGCUCAGAUAACCAUGAUACUGUGAUCACUCACCUAGAGCCAGACGUUCUGGAGUCCAAAGUCAAGUGGGCCUUAGGAUUCAGACAUGACUGAGUGACUGAACAACAAGAAGCAUGACACACAAGUUCAUGAAGUGUUCCAUAUUUUUUACACAAAAAUAAACUCAAAAUGGCUUAUAGACCUAAACAUAAGACAUAACACUAUAAAACUCGUAGAAGAGAUCACAGGAAAAACAUUUUCUGACACAAACUAUACCAAUGUUUUCUUAGAUCAGUCUCCCAAGGCAACAGAAACAAAAAACAAACUUAAACAAAAACAAAAAACAAAAACAACAAACAAAAAAGCAAACAAUCAGACUCACAAGCUUUUGCAUAGCAAAGGAAACCAUAAGGAAAACAAAACCAAAAUAACCUAUGGCAUGGGAGGAAAUAUUUGCAAACAGUAUGACCAAGAAGGGCUUAAUUUCCAAAAUAUCCAAACAGCUCUCAGUACAACAAAAAAAGCAAACAACCCAACUGCAAAAUGGAAAGGAGGAGACUUCCCUGGUGGCCCAGUUGCAGGCUGUGCUCCCAAUGCAGGGGCUCUGGGCUUGAUCGCUAGUCAGGGAACUAGAUCCCACAUGCUGCAAUCAAGAGUUCACGCCACAGCUAAAAGAUCCCCCAUGCCACGAUGAAGAUGGAAGGUCCUGUCUACCACAACUAAGACCCAGCACAGCCAGAUAAAUAAGUAUGAAGGAGGAAAAAAGAAAAACGGGCAGAAGACCUAAACAGACGUUUCUCCAAAGAAGAAAUACAGAUGACCAGUAGGUUCAUGAAAAGAUGAUCUACAUCACUAAUUAUUAGAGAAAUGCAAAUCAAAACUACAAUGAGGUACCAGCACCUACUAGUCAGAAUGGUCAUCAUUAAAGAGUCAACAAAUAAAAAAUGCUGGGCAGGGUGUGGAGAAAGGGAACUCUCCUAUGGCUGCUGGUGAGGAUGUAAGUUGGGGAGCCACUGUGGAAAACAGUAUGGAAGAUUCUCUGAAAACAAAAAAUAGAAUGACCAUAUAUCCAGCAAUUCCACUUCGGGCAUAGAUCUGGGCAAAACUAUAAUUCAACAAGAGACAUGCAGCCCUGUGUUCACAGUGGGACUGUGCACAAUAACCAAGACAUGGAAACAACCCAGAUGUCUAUUUACAGGUGAGUGGAUAAGGAAGAUGCAGCACAUAUAGACAGUGGAAUAUUACCCAGCCAUGAAAGAGAACAAAAUAAUGCCAUUUGCAGCAACAUGGAUAGAACGAGAGAUGAUCAUACUAAGAGUAAGUCAGAAAGAGAGACAAACAUCCUAUGAUAUCACUUAUCUGCAGAAUCUAAGAUGUGAUACAAAUGAACCUAUCUAUGAAACAGAAACAGAAUCACGGACACAGAGGAGAGACUGGUGGUUGUCAAGGGGGAGGGCGCUGGGGGAGGGAUGGAGUAGGAGUUUGGGAUUAGCAGAUGCCAACUGGUAUAUAUACAUAACAGAUAAAUAACAAGGUCCUACUGUGUAGUACAGAGAACUAUAUUCAAUAGCCUAUGAUAAAGCACAAUGGAAAAGAAUAUAUAAAAAAGAAUGUAUAUCUGUAACUGAAUCACUUUGCUGUACAGCAGUAAUUAAUACAACACUGUAAAUCAACUGCACUUUAAUUAAAAAAAAAAAUCACACCUACCUGAUAGGCUAACGUGAGUGCCAACUGAGGUAGGUCACGCAGAGGCCUGUCCUGGGGCUCUUGGUGCACAGGAGGGUCCUGCCAUCUGGAGGUGUGUCUUAAAGCACUGCUGUUGAGUCCUGGCUACCUUCCCUCUCCAAGGUGCUUUAGCGAGAGAAGCCUUUUCCUAGCGCGGUGUCAAGGAAGAGAGUUUCAGGAAAAAGCAGAUCUGGGGACCAGGAGGUAGUGAAGCAGGACUCAGAGUGGCAGAGGGUUCUGGGAAGCCCUGGGCCCCUGGAGAAGCUGGUGGGAAACAGCUUCUAAAUGAAAUGUGGUGCUGGAGAAGACUCUUGAGAGUCCCUUGGACAGCAAGGAGAUCAAACCAGUCAAUCCUAAAGGAAAUCAAUCCUAAAUAUUCAUUGGAAGGGCUGAUGCUGAAGCCGAAGCACCAAUUCUUCAGCACCAAUUCUCUUUGCCACCUGAUGCAAAGAGCCAACUCGUUGGAAAAGACUCUGAUGCCGGGAAAGAUUGAGGGCAGAGGACGAGCUGACAGGAUGGCAUCACCGAAUCAGUAAACCCCAGGGGACAGUGAAAGACAGGGAAGCCUGGCACGCUGCUAUCCGUAGGGUCAUAAAGAUUCAGACAUGACUGAGUGACUGAACAACAAGAAGCAUGACACACAAGUUCAUGAAGUGUUCCAUAUUUUUUACACAAAAAUAAACUCAAAAUGGCUUAUAGACCUAAACAUAAGACAUAACACUAUAAAACUCGUAGAAGAGAUCACAGGAAAAACAUUUUCUGACACAAACUAUACCAAUGUUUUCUUAGAUCAGUCUCCCAAGGCAACAGAAACAAAAACAAACUUAAACAAAACAAAAACAAAACAACAAACAAAAAGCAAACAAUCAGACUCACAAGCUUUUGCAUAGCAAAGGAAACCAUAAGGAAAACAAAACCAAAAUAACCUAUGGCAUGGGAGGAAAUAUUUGCAAACAGUAUGACCAAGAAGGGCUUAAUUUCCAAAAUAUCCAAACAGCUCUCAGUACAACAAAAAAAGCAAACAACCCAACUGCAAAAUGGAAAGGAGGAGACUUCCCUGGUGGCCCAGUUGCAGGCUGUGCUCCCAAUGCAGGGGCUCUGGGCUUGAUCGCUAGUCAGGGAACUAGAUCCCACAUGCUGCAAUCAAGAGUUCACGCCACAGCUAAAAGAUCCCCCAUGCCACGAUGAAGAUGGAAGGUCCUGUCUACCACAACUAAGACCCAGCACAGCCAGAUAAAUAAGUAUGAAGGAGGAAAAAAGAAAAACGGGCAGAAGACCUAAACAGACGUUUCUCCAAAGAAGAAAUACAGAUGACCAGUAGGUUCAUGAAAAGAUGAUCUACAUCACUAAUUAUUAGAGAAAUGCAAAUCAAAACUACAAUGAGGUACCAGCACCUACUAGUCAGAAUGGUCAUCAUUAAAGAGUCAACAAAUAAAAAAUGCUGGGCAGGGUGUGGAGAAAGGGAACUCUCCUAUGGCUGCUGGUGAGGAUGUAAGUUGGGGAGCCACUGUGGAAAACAGUAUGGAAGAUUCUCUGAAAACAAAAAAUAGAAUGACCAUAUAUCCAGCAAUUCCACUUCGGCAUAGAUCUGGGCAAAACUAUAAUUC
ensembl:lncRNA